ACUCCUACGGGAGGCAGCAGUGGGGAAUAUUGCACAAUGGGGGAAACCCUGAUGCAGCCAUGCCGCGUGUGUGAAGAAGGCCUUCGGGUUGUAAAGCACUUUCAGUAGGGAGGAAGGUAGUGUAGUUAACACCUGCAUUAUUUGACGUUACCUACAGAAGAAGCACCGGCUAACUCUGCCAGCAGCCGCGGUAAUACGGAGGGUGCGAGCGUUAAUCGGAAUUACUGGGCGUAAAGCGUGCGCAGGCGGUUUGUUAAGCGAGAUGUGAAAGCCCCGGGCUCAACCUGGGAAUUGCAUUUCGAACUGGCAAGCUAGAGUCUUGUAGAGGGGGGUAGAAUUUCAGGUGUAGCGGUGAAAUGCGUAGAGAUCUGAAGGAAUACCGGUGGCGAAGGCGGCCCCCUGGCACAAAGACUGACGCUCAUGCACGAAAGCGUGGGGAGCAAACAGGAUUAGAUACCCUGGUAGCGAGUAG
rnacentral:rRNA from 1 species